GGGUCUGUCGCGUAGCGGGAGGCGUUGUGUUGUAUCGGGGUGCUCCUUUUGGCUGUCUUGCGGUUGGUAGGAUCAGGUCGGGUUCA
rnacentral:tRNA from 1 species